CCCCACGAGGUGGGGCCGGAGCGGGAGCACGUGUCCUGCCGCGUGGGGGCUGCCCUCGAGGUCACGGAGCCAGCGGCCGCCCCCACGGCCUCGGAAGGCCCCACGUGGUCAACAGGCGCUUCCCCAAGCCCGUGGGCCCCCCCCCGGCCGGGGAGGACUGCGGCUCAGGGGCAUGGCCUCGCCCCACCCCUCACGGGGUCCUGGGGACAGCAGCCCAUUCCUGUGCCCGGACAGAAAAAGGGCUGAACAGCCGACAUACGUGGACAUCUCCACGCGUGGCCGCGCGCACCACGAGGGCGGGGGUUCAACGCGUCUCCUCCGUCAACAUGGACUGAGCGCGGGAGCUGCAGGAACCGGCACAGCAGGCGGCAGCUGAUAAACACCAUAACAAGAACUGAGCCUCAGAGGAAGCUGUCCUCUCAUGAUGUACCUUAGAUAGGGUCUUGGGAGCAAAACAUGGACAAAAAAAAAAAAAAACCCCUAAACGAUCGCAGAAGGGAGCUUUGGAUUUAGGCAGAUUUAUAUAAAAGUUUUUUUUUUUUCUAAUCUCUGAAAUAUGUUAAGUGAGAAACAACGCUGCAGAGCAAUGUAUGGUCUGAUCCUUUUUGUAUGGAAAGAGAACAUCUUAGAACAUCUUCAUGCACAUUGUGGCUUUGAUCCCAAGAAAAUGUGGAGAUUUGCUGACGAUUUCAAGCAGGAGAAUAAAUCAAUAUUCUGACAAAAAAAUGUGGCUGCUUUCAAGACAACUUAAAUUACGUAUUUCUGUUGGACAGCCUGGCCCACAUGCAACCCCAGAGCACCUUCCUGAGGAUUCGGUUGCCCAGCCAACCCCUUGUAAUCGGAGAUCUCGGGGACUGAGCUUUCUGCACAAAUGGUAUUUUCCUGGAAGGAGGUUGACUGCAAGGGACAGUCGAGCAGGAUUACUGUCGUCACUUGGGCGUGGGACUGGUGGUGGCAGUGGAGGCGCAGUUUGGAAACGGGGCUUCUGGCCCUGGUUGCCCUUCUUUGGGAAUGGGAACCGUAGUCUCUAGAUCAGUAACACAGGGACCAAGGUCAAUAAAACUAAGCUCACUGAAGACUCGAACGCUCUGCUACCCACAGAGGACAAGCAGUUUUCUCACUUGUAUUUAGCAAAAUAAACAGAGACCUAGAGGACACUGCAGAAGCAUCAGGAAAACAUCAGUCAACUGUUCGGGCUCUUGGACUUUAGCCUGAUCAUAUUUGCAUCCUUCAUGGCAUUAAAUUUUCUUCAUAAGAAGUCUUAAAAAAAAAUCCAAGGACACCUGGAGAACAGGAAGAGCUUCGGAGCUUUCAGCACGAGGUCUGGUCCAUGUCUGGCAUGCGGUGAGUCCAUGUCUUAGUGAGAAGCGUAACUAUUUAUUAUGGCUAUUUUGGGGCCUUUUCUUGGUCGUCAGUGAGCCCCCGGAAGGAGACGGUACUUUCUUCCACUUUGAGCGGGGAUCAGCCCACACGUGCCUGUGGUAGCAGGUGUUGCCAAGUGUCAGUUGGUGCAGGAUGAAUGCACCUGCGCCCCCCACGCUGUGCUGUGCAGGGGUGGGUCACUUCCCGGCCCCCCUGCCCCCAGGACGGGGGGGGGGUGCACAACGGCCAAUGGAGGAGAAAACAGCAACCUUUCAGUCCCGGAGGGACUCUUAACCCCAAAUGAGAGCCCUUAUGGUUCUGGGCAAAAUCGGGAAGGGGACAGAGGUCACAAGAGAUGACAGCCAGCCCCAGGGCCUCACAGGGCUCCUGUGGUUCCUGCGGCCUCAUCAUGAUCCCAGAAUUGCCUCUGCACUGCCCUUCCCCUAAGGAGCCACUGAGAAAAGGAAGGACCGUCCUCCAGCUACAUCACACGUCUCCCUUGGGUUUCCUUUUACCACUUUGGAGAGUGGACCCCAAGGUGCCCAGACUCUUCUGAUAUCUUCAAAAAAUCAAACUAAUGGAUGCUAGAGUAUUACCCCGGCCCUAGGAAGGCCAGGAUGGCCUCAGCAUCACUCCACAUUCCACGCCAUUCCGCGUUCCCUCCCUUAUUCCUCCUCACUCCCCUCCUGCCAAACACGUCUCUUCUCUCAUUCCCUUAGGCCACCCUGCUUCCCGGGUCCUGGCUCGUAGGCAAACCCAGGGAUCUGUGCUCACCUACAGGUGCCGUCGUGGGACUUUGUAUAUGGGGGGUGGGGUAGGGGAGGAAGUAUUUACUCAAGAUCACCUUUUUUCCCCCCUAAUCAUAAAAUAGAUAGGUAUUCACUUAGAAAAUGGGGGAAAAAUAUACAAGAGUAAUAAAAAUCUCUCCUGUAAUUCCACUAUUUUUUUUAAAAGACUAUUUAUUCAUGAGAGACACAGAGAGAGAGAGGCAGAGGGAGAAGCAGGCUCCAUGCAGGGAGCCCGAUGUGGGUGGGACUCGAUCCCAGGACCCGGGGUCAGGCCUGAGCCCAAGGCAGCUGCUCAGCCGCUGAGCCCCUGGCGUCCCUGUAAUUCCAUCCUUAAGAAAUAACCAGUUAACAUUUUUGCUGUUUUCUCUAAGCCCUUGUGUACGCAUGUCCUCGCCUCCCACUUGGAGGCACACGACAUCUGUCAGGCUCAGUCCUGUGCUUUCCCACCGAACGUCAUACUUCAAAUGUUUUCUCGUGUCAGUUAAUAUCCUUUAAAAUGUUGCUUCUAUUUGGAAUCUAUUCCUUUGGAUGAAUGUUCCAUGAUUUAUUUAAUUAACCCCCUAUUGUGGGAGAUUUAGCUUGUUUCUAAUUUCUCACUAUUGAAAAUGACUCCGGGAUAAAUGCUUUUGUACACACAUUUUGUUUACCACUUUGGUUCUCACCGUAUGGUGGGUCCCUGGAUGUGAAGUGAUGGAGGCCUGGGGUGUGAGCAUUUUUAAGACUGUCAUAUAGAUUAACCAAAUUACUCUCCAGAAACAUUGUAGCAAUUUAUAUGCCCACCAGCACGGGAAGUGCUUAUUUUUUUUUACUUCCUACUGUUCUCAUGUGAGUGAUCUUUGCAAAACUGACGGAUGACACAUAA